GUUCAUAAUACUAACACCACCAUGUAAAUAUAUAUAUAUUUAUAAACUUGAAUGGAUCCUGCAAUUGGUUUCCUAAAUUAAGUGAGUUGCUUUCACUUUGGCAGGUUGAAUAUAAUUUUUUUUUAAAUUGUAGUUUUCUUAAGUUAUACGAAAUGAUAAACAAUGCGCAAUGCGACACUGAGAAACUACAACUCCCAUGAGCACUCCCUGCACCCAAAGCACCACCUUCCAGAGAGCGCGCGCUCAUGGAUUUGCGAAUGCACAAGAGGAUGCAGUCUGAGCGCAUACACACUUCGGGAAGAUAAAACAAUUGCAUGAAAGUGAUUGAAGAGAUAUAAAUUGCAUGCACACUUUCAGGGCAAGAGCGGAGAGAAAUUCAGCGCACACCUGAAUGCACACGAAAUCAAAGGAAACCCACCAGCUGAGAGGUUCGCGCAUCACUUAUAAAAUAUAAUCUGCAUAAACAAGUUGACAGUAAAAUUCACGUUCAAUUUUUUGACAGUAUUUACAACCGUUGUUAAUAAAUAUUUAAAGUGGUUGGCGAGUGGUUUUGUGUUUAUCUUUUCAGUUAACCUUCUACACCCCUGCUUCAAUUUUAAUAUAUUCAUUAGAAGUUAAUCUAUUUAUGCCUUACUGGCAUGUUUUUCAUGCACCUUAAUAUAUUAUAUAUGAUCUAUACUGAUAUACCUGCUAUAUACCAGCUUAUAAAUAUUGUCCUUUGAAAUUCAAUCUGCAUCUAAUUUAGCUAAACCAAGUGAAAAUGCUGAGGGGCUAGUAACUUUGGAAAACAACUAGCCACUUUGGCUGGUGAGCAAAAAAGUUAAUGUCAAGCCCUGCUUUUAAUCCAAGUACAUAUUCAAAUAACUAACACGCAUAGACAUUAAACAUACUGAAUGAAUAAAAAAACAAAGCAUAUCACUUCCAAAUACGUUAAACUAUCACUUUUAAGAAAUCGCUGCCACUCGCUGGAAUUUAUAAAACUGCAGUAAUGAUUUAAGUGACGGUGGGCAGCAGAAAACUCCAGUAAGAGGCCUUUGCAAUGUUUCCCAUACGUUGAUUUAUUCGUGGCGCACCGCCACAGAAUCAGCGCUGGCGAGUAGCAUCUGCCUGCACAACUGGAGGCUGCACUUUUAGGACCGUAGUUUUAGGACCGCAGUUCUAGGACCCUGGAUUUUAGUGACAACGCCACCUAGCGAAUUAGAGGACCAGCAAAGAUGGACGACAAACAGAGUCAACUAAGGCACUGUACACCGUCGAGAAGCUGCUCACAAACAAGAGAAUGCUGAAAGAUGUUGAGAAACUCAGCCCUCACUUUCAAACUUCGUCUUUGGAAGCUUUUCACAGGGUAAUUUUACGCUUUGCUCCCAAAAACGUUGUAUUGUUAUGCAGACUGUACUUGGCAUGUAUGCAUUUCAAUGAGGACUCCAACCGUCCUCAGGCUAAAACAAAAAUGGGAAAGCCAGUGUAUAGGCUUUUGUUUCCCAAAGCCAAAAAGGGGGAAUACUCAGGGCCGGCGUCAUGGGGGGGCAUUCGCGGGCAGUGCCCCCCCGAACAGGUUGUUGUGCCCCCCUACAAAGUUUUUAUUAAUUUAAUAUAUAUCAAGAAUAAUUAAAAUAAAUUAAACAUUGAAUGUUUCAUGACUUGUAAUGUAAUCAAAUGAUGAAAAUAUAGUUGAUAUAUGUUUUCUUUAAUUAAAAUAGACCAGUUUCUCUGAUUGGAUGUAUUGCCGCGUCUCACCCGUCUUAAGUCUUUAGCAUAUUUGUGACUUGAUACUAGCAACGUGUUUUUUCGCGGCAUUUUAUGGAUCGUGUAAAAUAUGAAUAUUAGAACAUUUAGAACGAAUCAGCACCGCCUGCUUCAUCUGACUUCAUUGAAACACAGACUGGCUCAAACUCAGAGAUUAGAGGUCGAGGUGGAAUUUACAGGACACUGUUUUAAGGAAGUUUAAUGUUCGUACACACCGUCUUCAGCUAUUUUAAAGGUAAGUUAGCGUUGUUUUAAAUUACGCAAGCUUAAAUGUGAAGUGUGGCUAUAGACCGUUAACAGCAUUACGACGUGAUUAUGGUAAAGCGGCUUUUUUAAAGCUAGGACGCGGUGUGCGCUGUGCCCAUUCAUUUCAAUGGCUUGCGCCGCGCGAGGGCGGUUUGUUGUUGCGUCGAGUAGCGCGAGCGCAGCGGAGCUCAGCUUGCGCUCACGCCGCGGUCGAAGUUCAGUAGUUUUGCGCAUAGUUUGUGGUUUUUGCACUUUAUACGGGAAGUGAGCUGACAGUCUGUACCAGUUGUAUGAGUGUGUGCUUGCUGUAUUUGUUGUUUUAAUGUCUUGUUUCUGCAAGUUAUUGUUGCUAUUGCGUGCCCCCCGUUGGAAGCCGAGUGCCCCCCUGUUAGUUAUGGUCUGGCGCCGGCUCUGGGAAUACUCCACACGUCCAUUAAAGACACAGGCAACAUAUUGUAAGUUUAAAGAGCACCUAUUAUGGGAUACACGUUUUUAAACAUCCUUUUGUGUGUAAGUGUGUAUUAGUACAUGCUAACGAUAUUCAAAAAGUACAUACCUCAAAGAAAACAAUGACGCGAAUUAUCGUCUCUAACGUUUGAGGACUACAAAAAACACUCGGAUUGUAGGCAACAGUUUACUUCCUGGGAUUAGUGACGUAGAUAAGACCAACAUUAUCAUAGUUCAGCCCUCUCUGCUUUGCUUGGGGUGCACUCAAAGACGGGGGUGGGGAGCGCCGAGUCAGAAGAGAGCUAAAAUGGCGGAGGUUGUGAGUUCCUGCUUUGACUCUGUUUGCAAACUCUUGUUUCAUCGUUUAAGCGAUUAAAUCUCUCGAGUAGAUGCUGUCUCUUUAGAUGCGAGGGCAAAAUAGCACUUUAUGGACUUUCACAGAGGACAUCAUGUUUAAUACGGUUCCGGAAAAAUCCAGUCAGAAGUUGUUCACGGAGUUUUCACAAUAACUGCUUCUCAUGAACCGAAGCUGGAUUUGCGCGACGUCUCCUCUUGAAAGUUGGAUUACUGUGCACUUCUGGAUCACAGGCUAUUCGCAGCUGGACACGUCCUUCUACACUGAAUGCAAACAUGCAACAUCAUUACACACAGUACAAGGAGUCAGACUGGCAUAUGAGGAGCAAAGGAACCCAGGCAGUAGCAUCGUUUCACAAUGUUUCCAUCACCAUCAUCAGUGGAUGCCUUUGCCGUCCGUAGCCUGAGAUUUCAGAUUUGCAGCAAAAAUUUUUUGAUUUUCUCAUUUAUUGGAAUGCUGUGCAGGUAUUUGUACCUUGCAGCCAUCCAUUACAAUGUCACCAAGCCGUAACAAAAGCAGGAGAGGGAAAGUACAAGGCUAUGUUCCCAAAACACACAAGUGACAUACCUUAUGUGGAUGAUGUGAUCAGGCUUGUGUUUGAUGAGGUAUUUGAAGAUAAGCUGAAGGAAACCCCGAUUCCAAUGGACCUGGCAUCACAGUUUGAGAGACCUUCAAAGGAGGACGUGAUUGCAUGCCAUCUUCAGUGCAGGGGUCGUCGAAAGCCAAAAUUGUGACACAUCUGAUCAGGAAGCUCCAAGCAUAUCUGGAGAACAACACACGACAGGAUGAUAACCUCAUAGUGUCGUCUUAAAUAGCACCAGCUGACAAAGCUUUGAUAUGCCAUUUAUCUGAAUAGAUAGCUGUAAGAAAUGAAUUGAACAAUUUUUGAAACAAGAGCACAAUAUGGUUACUAAAGUAUGUUUAUUUGUAUAUUGUUUAACAUUUAAAUAUAUAUUUGUAAUAAAUAAAAAAAACUUUUGACUGACUAUUAUAUUUUCUUUAAAGUUACAUCUUUUGUUCUUUUGGGUACUUUGUUACUAUAAUGAUACUUUAGUGUUAUUGGUUUAAAAAUUUAAUAAAACUUACUCUAGUCCUGCACCUCAAAGGCUUAUAGUCGGUACAAUAAAUGUUCUGUGUGUAGGGAUUUAGACAAUUUGUGCAAAACCUGGAUGAUGAAUCACGCAGGUAAGAGGCCCUGGAACAUGUUGCAUUCUCCUUAAAACCUAAUAAGUAAAAACAUAGCACUUAUAAGUAAGCAGUCUUUCAUAAAAAAGUUUACCAUAGUGAAAUAAUGUAGAACAUUCAUUUCAAUUAAUAAUUUCUUUGUGCUACAUUUGGUGUUUCCAUAUAGUUUGCACAGUAAUAUAGUAUGUAACAGUCUUUUAUAAUAAAGUUUACUAUAGAGGGUUUUCACGGCGCGUCAUCAGAGCGGAAGACGCCAUAUUGGAGGCACUCCGCAUUACAACAGAGCAGACACUGAUGUAUAUGCCGAACGUCGUCAAGGAAAAUAGUUAAUUAUUGCCGUGUUUGAGAUGGUACCAACAGUACAUAUUGAGAAAAACAUUUGGAUUAUUAUCGACUUCCAAAAGUUAUUAAAAACCAGGGAAAGGAAUGCAAGAAAUUAUCAGAGGAGCGGCGCUUGUGGUUGGUAAAGCUCAGGAAAAAGAGUAGUAUUGUAUUAGAAAUAUGAUUGAAGUACAUAAAGUAUAAAACAAUUAUGCUUCUACUUGUUGUGCUUUAUUUAAAGAGUAUUUAAUAUGUACUUUAGUGUAUGCACAAAAUGUACUUAAACACAAAUAAAAUUUGCGCUGCAAUGCCUUAAUGCCAAUGUGCUUAAUUGCUCAUAACAAAUUUUCUAUUGUAAUGAUAAUAAUAUUUUUUUAUAGUAAAUGGUAAAAACAAUUAUUGCUUUUAUUUUUUACUGUGCUU